rnacentral:rRNA from 1 species
UACGUAGGGUCCAAGCGUUAUCCGGAAUCACUGGGCGUAAAGCGUGCGUAGGUGGAUUGUUAAGUGCGGUGCGAAAUCCUGUGGCUCAACCAUAUGGACUGUAUCGCAUACUGGCAACCUAGAGGACAUGAGAGGCAAGUGGAAUUACUGGUGUAGCAGUGAAAUGCGUAGAGAUCAGUAGGAACACCAAUGGCGAAGGCAGCUUGCUGGCAUGUAUCUGACGCUAAGGCACGAAAGCGUGGGGAGCGAUCCGG